rnacentral:tRNA from 4 species
GCCGGUUUAGCUCAGCUGGUAGAGCAGCGGUUUUGUAAACCGAAGGUCGCGGGUUCGAUUCCUGCAACCGGCACCG